CCUCCCGCACCGAUUUUUUCCUCCCGUUCCGACCCACCUAUCGUCCCACUCGAUUUUCUUUCCCCCCUACCGGUUUUCUCCCUCACAGUUUUCUCCCUCCUCUGGCUUGCAUCUCACGCCGGCGUCCAGCGCCACCGAUGCCGAUCUCCAGCCUUUGUCCGGCCCAUGGAUCCCGAUGUGGAGCUCCACUGCGGCCCGAUCUGACGUGGAAGCGGCCAGAUCCGUGCGUCUCCGCCUCGCUCCGCGCGCCUCCAUGGUCCGCCGUCUUCUCGAGCGUCGGUGCCGCGCUCAGCCGCCGCCGUCCCAUGCCAUGGUUGCCUCCCUCCAGAACGAUCUGCCAUGGCCGCCUCCCUGCCUCUCCCACAAGUGGGCCUCUGCACGACCAGAUCCGUUCCUCUGCGCCUCGCUCCGCGCGCCAUGAUGGUCCUCCGUCUUCCCGAGCACCGGCGCCGUGCGCAGCCUCCGCCGCCCCAUGCCAUGGUCGCCUUCCUCCAGAACGCCGUGCCAUGGCCGCCUCCCUGCCUCUCCCGCAAGUGGGCCUCUGCGCCCCCGGCCUAGCAGAUUAAUGGAGGGCGCUGCCGACGUCGGGACAUGCCUCGGUUCACCUGCUUCCUGAUGUCCAAUUAUUUUUUGUUGUUGCUAUAUUCAACCUCAUCUCUGAAAGCCUACACCUUCCUGUGCUGUUGCUAUAUUCAUGAGUUUGACAGGAGAAGGGACUGGAGGCAUACAGUAGGCAGAACAGUGGAACAAAACUCAGCUUCAAUUAAUCGACAUGGUGUUCGCAAAUGGAAAGUCGUUCCUGCUGCUACAGUUCAUUGGUUCAAGUCCGACAUUGAGCUCACAAUGGACGUUGAGUUGGUGGACACAAUGGACAAUAAGCCCAUGAAGCUCCAGAAGUCCAGAUUUGGAUACGGUAUUUCCCUUUCUAUCUAAAAUCUACCAUAGAAAUUUGUACUAGCUGCAUAUACAUCAAAAGAGGUGGCACACUUGAAACUACUUCAGGAACAGUUUAGUUGUCAAAGGCAAAUAACCAUCUUUAGUGGUCGUUACAUUAAACCUAGGACGAGAUGCAUAUAGAGUUCUGUUAUGGCUACUACGAUACAGAUGUCAACGCAAAGUAUUUCCUCUUUUCUAUGAAAAGGUUUACAUUAUAAGGAUAAUCGAGUAUAAUAAUAUGGAUGAAAAUAUUGCUCUCCUGCUAGGUCUUAGAAGUUAGAAUCCACAAAGUUAAGUUAAUUAUAGUAAUUAUGACCCCACUUAUGCCUUCUCUUUACGCAUUAAGAUGUGUCGCUCCUUUAAAAAAAUAAGAUAUUGAUUCUUGUGUUUUGAAGUCUUGGAUGUGACUAAUUGUAUGACAUGCCGAUAUCUGGCGAGCCUGGUGUGUUCUGUUUUCUCACACCCGCCGCCGUCGCACAAGGUGAUUGUUGGACGUGAGCGAGCUUCAGGAGCACUUCCUACAGGUUGUCGGCCGUUCACAAGUACUUCCUUUCAAGCCGAAUGGGCUCUUUAUUUUACUGAUCUGGACACACCACCUUCUCAGGUCUAAAAUUUUGAGUUUUCAGGUCUAAAAUGUAACUGAUGUAAAGAUUUGUCCAUCCCUUGAAUCCGACUUUUUUUCCAGCUGGUGCACUGAGGGAGGCGUUUGAUGUAGCAACUGCCUUUAAAAAACAAUGCCAUGAUUGAUUCAUUCCCCACUGUAUGUUCGUCCAGCAGAGGAUGUUCUUCAGUGGAAAAUUCUGAAACCUUAUUCAGCUUUGAUGUAUAGCUGGCACAGUUUGUUAAUAAUCUCUAUGAACAUUUGUACAAAUGGUGACAAAAAAGUUCUUUUAUAACCAUGGAAUCAUGACAUGGAAUGUAUUAUUAAUGUGUAUACCUUCAAUGUGGAUUAUCGAAGACUACUUUCGUUUCAUAUUCAUGCAAAAAACUUCUCCGGGAAUGUUGAAAUUUUUGCUUGUACUGUCUUUUCCUGGAGUCAUUGAAAUAUCCCCUUGCACAGAAAUUUGUUUUCUACUGAAUUUUUGUCGAGAUACUCUGGUACUAACAUUUAACUAUUUUGUAGGAAUGAAGAGCUCAAGGGAGCAAAAGGAACAAGGAGAAAGGAGCGCUCAAGAGAAGUGAACUCAAAGUCCAAGAUGCAAUCUUCACAUAGCUCACAAAUAUUAACCAGUAAACACUACUUGAUUCGUGAUGGCAUUGGACCAGACACACAACAUCCAGUUCUAUAAUAAGUAUAUUCGUGAUUGCAUUGGACCAGACACACGGAGAUGCUCGCUUGUCGUCGAGGAGUGUAGCUUGUAAUCGAAGUUGGCGCUACAAAGCUUGUUCUCAAAACCGACAACCAACUUAUGGCGCAGGUUAUUAACUCAGAUGUUAUCGACCGAUCCAGGUUUGGUCCUCUUGUCUAGGAGAUAAAGAAGAUGAUGUGAGGCAUCGACGAGUUCUGAGUGGCUUGGGCCAGGAGAAUAGCAAACAAAGCUGCUCAGAUCUUAGCUAGGGAGGGUUGCCUUUUAAUGCAAAACUUGGUUUAGUGUUUCUACAGAUUGUAUUCAAGAUGUUGUACUGGCGGAUAAUGCCAUGAACUAAAUAAUAACAAGGCAUCAAUUUCCUUUAAAAA